CCUACGAGUGGCAGCAGUGGGGGAUAUUGCACAAUGGGGGAAACCCUGAUGCAGCGACGCCGCGUGUGGGAAGACGGUCCUCUGGAUUGUAAACCACUUUCCCCAGGGACCAAAAUGACGGUACCUGGGCAGUAAGCUCCGGCUAACUACGUGCCAGCAGGCGCGGUAAUACGUAGGGAGCGAGCGUUGUCCGGAAUUACUGGGUUUAAAGGGAGCGUAGGCGGAGAUGCAAGUUGGCGGUAAAAACUACCGGCUCAACUGGUAGUCGCACUUAAAACUGCAGCUCUUGAGUGAAGUAGAGGCAGGCGGAAGUCGUAGUGUAGCGGUGAAAUGCGUAGAUAUCAGGAGGAACACCAGUGGCGAAGGCAGCCUGCUGGGCUUUUACUGACGCUGAGGCUCGAAAGUGUGGGGAGCGAACAGGAUUAGAUACCCGGGUAGUC
rnacentral:rRNA from 1 species